rnacentral:rRNA from 1 species
AUUGAACGCUGGCGGCAUGCCUUACACAUGCAAGUCGAACGGUAACGCGGGGCAACCUGGCGACGAGUGGCGAACGGGUGAGUAAUGCAUCGGAACGUGCCCGGUAGUGGGGGAUAACUGCUCGAAAGAGCAGAUAAUACCGCAUACGACCUGAGGGUGAAAGGGGGGGAUCGCAAGACCUCUCGCUAUUGGAGCGGCCGAUGUCGGAUUAGCUAGUUGGGGGGGUAAGGGCCCACCAAGGCGACGAUCCGUAGCUGGUCUGAGAGGACGACCAGCCACACUGGGACUGAGACACGGCCCAGACUCCUACGGGAGGCAGCAGUGGGGAAUUUUGGACAAUGGACGCAAGUCUGAUCCAGCCAUGCCGCGUGCGGGAAGAAGGCCUUCGGGUUGUAAACCGCUUUUGUCAGAGAAGAAAUCUUCUGGGUUAAUACCUCGGGAGGAUGACGGUAUCUGAAGAAUAAGCACCGGCUAACUACGUGCCAGCCGCCGCCGUAAUAC